UACAGAGGUCCCGAGCGUUGUUCGGAUUUAUUGGGCGUAAAGGGUGCGUAGGCGGCGGAGUAAGUUGGGUGUGAAAUCCCGGGGCUUAACCUCGGAAUUGCAUUCAAUACUGCUUCGCUUGAGUACUGGAGAGGAGGCUGGAAUUUACGGUGUAGCAGUGAAAUGCGUAGAUAUCUGGAGGAACACCGGUGGCGAAGGCGGCAUCCUGGACCGGCAUUGACGCUGAGGCGCGAAAGCCAGGGGAGCAAACGGG
rnacentral:rRNA from 1 species